GAUAGGUCCUAAAUGUCACUUCAGCUUAUUUAGAGUUAAUUGUUUACUACAAACAUAUCAACAUGAGCUAGUCUUAUUAUAACAAUUGGAUAUUUCAUAAAGAGAAAUAUUCUGGUGUAUUCUGUUUUCUUCUUAAUACGUGUGAAUUGCUAUGCUCUUCUAAGUGGUGGAAUGAUCAGUAGGGAAAUAAUCAGAAGUGAAUACCUAAGUCAAAAUUUACCAUUACAUCUGAUGCAUUGAGGCUUAUCAGAAUAUCCACCAAGCAUUAAC
rnacentral:lncRNA from 1 species